UGCAUCUUUAAAUGGAGCACUCUUAAUCCCUCCAGCUGUAUUCCAGAAUACAUUUUGAACCUCCUUUGGCCAUCCACACACACUUUCCACCUUCUGGUAACUGCAGCCAAGUGAAUGAUCCAUUUAAAUUAUGGAUUAUUUUUAAUGUUGCUUUAAAUAUAUUCAAUCAUCAACCACUCUUGUCCAGAUUCUAGAACCACAUGAAGCUGUCAGAGGGACAUGUCAAUAUUUGUUGGUAGGGACAAGGAAUGGAGAUCAUACGUUGUAUCCCAUCUUACAGUGGUGCCUUCUGUUGCCCAAAGCCCCUGGGAAACCUGAGGACAAGAGAGCUGAGUGAUGCAAGCUUAGAAUCAGCCUCACAGCAACAGAACAGGGCAGAGAAGACCAGAAAACUGAUUCAGGGCUGUGUUAUCCAAUAAAGCAGCCAUUGGACAAACACAA